rnacentral:misc_RNA from 1 species
GUCCAUUAGCUAUUGAUCGUGAUACAUAUAGUGGGGGCUUACCAUCUCUUAAAUAUAAUCCAUACUCUUGGACAAAGAUUGCUAGCAUCAUAUUCAUAGAUGCACCAGUUGGAACUGGAUUUUCCUAUGCAACAACCACAGAGGCUGCCAAUACCUCCGACACAUUAUCAGCAUCACAGACCUAUAAUUUCCUAAGAAAGUGGCUGGUGACUCACCCCAAGUUUCUUGGAAACCAAGUGUACAUUGGUGGAGAUUCAUAUU